GGCGGCGGCGGCCGAGGCUGAAGGAAGAUGGCGGACGGCGUGGACCACAUAGACAUUUACGCGGAUGUCGGCGAAGAAUUCAACCAGGAAGCUGAAUAUGGUGGGCAUGAUCAGAUAGAUUUGUAUGACGAUGUCAUAUCUCCAUCUGCAAAUAAUGGAGAUGCCCCAGAAGACCGGGAUUACAUGGAUACUCUCCCACCAACUGUUGGUGAUGAUGUGGGUAAAGGAGCAGCACCAAAUGUUGUCUAUACGUAUACUGGAAAGAGAAUUGCAUUAUAUAUUGGAAAUCUAACAUGGUGGACAACAGAUGAAGACUUAACUGAAGCAGUUCAUUCUUUGGGAGUAAAUGAUAUUUUGGAGAUAAAAUUUUUUGAAAAUCGGGCAAAUGGCCAGUCAAAGGGAACGUUUCAUCACUCCAAGGAGAAAUCUUGUACCCGGUUAGCAGUCACUCCCAUUUCCUCUCUUCCUAUCUGCUGGCAACCGCUAACGUGCUCUGAAUAUGCCUGUUCUGGACAUUUCAUCUAAAUGGAAUCAUAAAAUACGUAGUCCUAUGUGACUGG
rnacentral:sRNA from 1 species